rnacentral:rRNA from 1 species
AACGAACGCUGGCGGCAUGCCUAACACAUGCAAGUCGAACGAGACCUUCGGGUCUAGUGGCGCACGGGUGCGUAACGCGUGGGAACCUGCCCUUAGGUUCGGAAUAACUCCCCGAAAGGGGUGCUAUAACGGGUAAUUGUCUCCGACCAAAGAUUUAUCGCCUUUGGAUGGGCCCGCGUUGGAUUAGCUAGUUGGUAGGGUAAAAGCCUACCAAGGCGACGAUCCAUAGCUGGUCUGAGAGGAUGAUCAGCCACACUGGGACUGAGACACGGCCCAGACUCCUACGGGAGGCAGCAGUGGGGAAUAUUGGACAAUGGGCGAAAGCCUGAUCCAGCAAUGCCGCGUGAGUGAUGAAGGCCUUAGGGUUGUAAAGCUCUUUUACCCGGGAUGAUAAUGACAGUACCGGGAGAAUAAGCUCCGGCUAACUCCGUG